rnacentral:tRNA from 1 species
AUUUAUGUAGUUUAUUAAAACAUUACAUUUUCACUGUAAAAAUAUUAUUUAAUCAUAAAUU